AUUGGAAUCCGCAGUGACCAGCCCAGGACUUCUGCCUGUGCUAGCACUGGGGAUGCUCCACCUGCUCUUCGGCCCAGCAAGGGUGUGCAGAGUGACAGCCAGGGGCCGUGUGGCACUGCCAGUCCUGGUCUGCACAGCUCUGCAGGUGUGGUGGGGCACACUGUCGUCCCAGCACCUCCCCUCGGGCCGUCUCAAGUCACUCAAGCUGCAUCCAAACAGAAGAUCAUGAAGCCAGUGAGUCCCAGAGACUGCGCAGGUCCAGGCUCAUUUGGAGCAACUCUCAUCUCCUCCCUUCUGAUCACCACCAGUCCCCUACAAAAGCUUAGACAGGGAGCAGAAUUCAUCGAAGACGUGGACAGGGAGGUGCUUGGAGAGGGACGCAGAGAGGGAUCGGGUGCACCUGGGCGCGGAGUCUGGGUGGCCAGGUUUGG
rnacentral:lncRNA from 1 species